rnacentral:lncRNA from 1 species
UUUCUAUUACUCGAAUUCUGUUAGUUCAAGGGACUUGAGAAGUUAGUUAUGUGAGAUUCAAAAUUGUUACUUGUGUCUACUAUCAAGUUUUGUUAGUAGUUAGGUUGGUUAUGAUUUUUUGUUACAGUUCAAUUAUUUCUGUUAGUUAAGACUGUUAUAUUGUUGAGUGAAUGUGUUGAUGAACUGUGUUCCAACUUCUGUUAGA